rnacentral:tRNA from 1 species
GCCGAGGUGGCGGAAUUGGCAGACGCGGUUGACUCAAAAUCAACAGAGGUUAGGCCUCGUGCGGGUUCAAGUCCCGCCCUCGGCACCA